UACGUAGGUGGCUAGCGUUGUCCGGAUUUACUGGGCGUAAAGAGCGCGCAGGCGGUCGUUCAAGUCGAGUGUGAAAGCCCCCGGCUCAACCGGGGAGGGUCGUCGGGUACGGGUGGGCUUGAGGGCAUCAGGGGCUGGUGGAAUUCCCGGUGUAGUGGUGAAAUUCGUAGAUAUUGGGAAGAACACCGGUGGCGAAGGCGGCGACCUGGUCCAUUACUGACGCUGAGGCGCGACAGCGUGGGGAGCAAACAGG
rnacentral:rRNA from 1 species